ACUCCUACGGGAGGCAGCAGCAGGGAAUCUUCCACAAUGGGCGCAAGCCUGAUGGAGCAACACCGCGUGAGUGAAGAAGGGUUUCGGCUCGUAAAGCUCUGUUGUUAAAGAAGAACACGUAUGAGAGUAACUGUUCAUACGUUGACGGUAUUUAACCAGAAAGUCACGGCUAACUACGUGCCAGCAGCCGCGGUAAUACGUAGGUGGCAAGCGUUAUCCGGAUUUAUUGGGGCGUAAAGAGAGUGCAGGCGGUUUUCUAAGUCUGAUGUGAAAGCCUUCGGCUUAACCGGAGAAGUGCAUCGGAAACUGGAUAACUUGAGUGCAGAAGAGGGUAGUGGAACUCCAUGUGUAGCGGUGGAAUGCGUAGAUAUAUGGAAGAACACCAGUGGCGAAGGCGGCUACCUGGUCUGCAACUGACGCUGAGACUCGAAAGCAUGGGUAGCGAACAGGAUUAGAUACCCUGGUAGGAUAGCG
rnacentral:rRNA from 1 species